CUACGGGUGGCUCCAGUGGGGAAUUUUGCGCAAUGGGGGAAACCCUGACGCAGCAAUACCGCGUGAGUGAAGAAGGCCUUUGGGUCGUAAAGCUCUUUUCUUGGGGAAGAUAGUGACGGUACCCAAGGAAUAAGCACCGGCUAACUCCGUGCCAGCAGCCGCGGUAAUACGGAGGGUGCAAGCGUUGUUCGGAUUUACUGGGCGUAAAGGGCACGUAGGCGGCACAGCAAGUUAAGGGUGAAAUCCCGGGGCUCAACUCCGGAACUGCUCUUAAAACUGCUGAGCUAGAGAUAGUCAGAGGCGGGUGGAAUUCCAGGUGUAGAGGUGAAAUUCGUAGAUAUCUGGAGGAACACCGGUGGCGAAGGCGGCCCGCUGGGGCUAUUCUGACGCUAAGGUGCGAAAGCGUGGGGAGCAAACGGGAUUAGAUACCCCCGUAGUC
rnacentral:rRNA from 1 species